rnacentral:rRNA from 1 species
UACCAGCACCCCGAGUGGUCGGGACGAUUAUUGGGCCUAAAGCAUCCGUAGCCGGUCCUACAAGUCUUCCGUUAAAUCCACCUGCUUAACAGGUGGGCUGCGGAAGAUACUAUAGAGCUAGGAGGCGGGAGAGGCAAGCGGUACUCGAUGGGUAGGGGUAAAAUCCGUUGAUCCAUUGAAGACCACCAGUGGCGAAGGCGGCUUGCCAGAACGCGCUCGACGGUGAGGGAUGAAAGCUGGGGGAGCAACCGG